AGUUAAAUUUCAUACAAACAAGACCUGCGUGGAGAGGUAACCCCAAAUGUACAGCGAGAUGUGCUAAUUUUUAGGUGGAAAAUUAUGGACAGUUGUUUUUAACAACGAGAAUCAGAAGCCAGUUCACCGUGUUGAUAGUGAUCGGCAAAUAACAGAGGUGGGCCCCAGAUGGGAUUUAAUUAUAGAUGCGUGAGGCGACUGAUGAUUAGACAAUUUGGCAGUUGCAAGAACUUCUGGAUAUGGGUAUUUGUAACUGUGGUUGUGAUAUACUUGGUAGAUCUGAUGAUCUCUG